rnacentral:tRNA from 1 species
GUCACCGUCUACACGCACGGCUGGUACGGGCAGUCGGCCUACUACGCCGACGACCUGUCCGUGUUCGGCCCGGACGGUGGCG